rnacentral:rRNA from 1 species
GUACACUCCUACGGGAGGCAGCAGUGGGGAAUAUUGGACAAUGGGCGCAAGCCUGAUCCAGCCAUGCCGCGUGAGUGAUGAAGGCCCUAGGGUUGUAAAGCUCUUUCACCGGUGAAGAUAAUGACGGUAACCGGAGAAGAAGCCCCGGCUAACUUCGUGCCAGCAGCCGCGGUAAUACGAAGGGGGCUAGCGUUGUUCGGAUUUACUGGGCGUAAAGCGCACGUAGGCAGACUAUUAAGUCAGGGGUGAAAUCCCGGGGCUCAACCCCGGAACUGCCUUUGAUACUGGUAGUCUUGAGUUCGAGAGAGGUGAGUGGAAUUCCGAGUGUAGAGGUGAAAUUCGUAGAUAUUCGGAGGAACACCAGUGGCGAAGGCGGCUCACUGGCUCGAUACUGACGCUGAGGUGCGAAAGCGUGGGGAGCAAACAGGAUUAGAAACCCUUGUAGUCCCAUG